AACGUCACCGGACUCAUUUUGAUGCGGCACCUCUACCAGCAGACAUCACCAGCGGUGUCCUCGCGAUUUUAAAUGUAUUUGUUCGCCUCGCCCGUUGAAGAUGCUUCACCUCCAGGGUCAACGUCUCUGAUGGGUUCAAACCAACGGACCCAACCGAGACAUGUGACGACCAAUCAGAGCCCUGAAGCCGGAUCAACGUCUUGCUGACAGUUUUCGAACCAAUGGACACAACCAAUCACUGCUGGGUCAACGUCUCUGAUGGGUUCAAACCAACGGACCCAACCGGAGACAUGUGACGACCAAUCAGAGCCAUGAAGCCGGUGAGUGUUACUAAUAUUUAAUCAUUAUGAUUCUGGAUUGCUGCAAUUCUUCUGCCAUUCGUAGUUUCCUCCAGAGGUUUCGCCACAUGGACACAGAAACAUGGACUGGCAACAAUGCUGUGUUUCUAUCUGACUCCUUAAACUAAACAUAGCUAGCAAACAUGGAAAUAAUGAUUGUUCUGGUCCAGCCGUACCAUGUCUACUAGCUAACGGUAGUGGUUGAGGUCGUAGGUCAGCGGGAAGACUUCCCCUUCCAAAAAGCACUUGCUCGGUCGGCUCAGUGACGGGCGAGUUGUCGAAGAAGGGAACAUGAACCUCGUCACUGUGGGUGAGACGGCAGCUUCUCAUUGGCUGACUCGUCUCAAUCAGUGACGAGACACUAGAACCUAUUAAUAAUAAUGCCGUGGGUGGUCUAAACUUUGAACGCAUCUUGUUGGUCAACUUCAACUGACUGAAACUCCGUCUCUUUGAGGGUCAACGGACCCAACCAGAUACGGCCAAUCACUGCCUGUAAGUCUUUAUUGAAUCAUGUUUCCGUCUCUUUUCGCUGUGAUGACGAUUCUUCCUCCAUUCGUAGUUUCCUCCAGAGGUCUCACGACCAGAGACGGCCCAAUCCUUCCUUGGAUGUCUGAACGACCUCUGUUCUCCCUGUGACCUUUGACCCGUACUCCAUCAGCUGACUUGUUUUUUGUGUCCCGCAGAUCUGGAACCAGGAGCUCCACAGAGUUUCUCCUCCUGGAGGCAGAGGAGCUGAUCAAUACAGAUCAAUAAAGAUCAGCUGAUUCUCAAUAAAUCUGAGGAACUGUAA